AGGAUAGAGGCCUACCAUGGUGGUAACGGGUAACGGGGUGUUAGGGCACGACACCGGAGAGGGAGCCUGAGAAACGGCUACCACAUCCAAGGAUGGCAGCAGGCGCGCAAAUUACCCAAUCCCGACACGGGGAGGUAGUGACAAUAAAUAACAAUACGGGGUCCUUUCGGGUUUCGUAAUUGGAAUGAGUACAAUUUAAAUCUCUUAACGAGGAACAAUUGGAGGGCAAGUCUGGUGCCAGCAGCCGCGGUAAUUCCAGCUCCAAUAGCGUAUAUUAAAGUUGUUGCAGUUAAAAAGCUCGUAGUUGAAUUUCGGGAUCAGUACGCUGGUCGUGCCUUCGGUAUGCACUGGUGUCACUGGUUCCUCCCUUCUGAAGAACUGUCAUGCCAUUCAGUUGGUGUGGCGGGGAAUCAGGACUGUUACUUUGAAAAAAUUAGAGUGUUUAAAGCAGGCUCGCGCUUGAAUACAUUAGCAUGGAAUAAUGAAAUAGGACGUUUGAUCCUAUUUUGUUGGUUUCUAGGAUCGGCGUAAUGAUUAAUAGGGAUAGUUGGGGGCAUUAGUAUUCAAUUGUCAGAGGUGAAAUUCUUGGAUUUAUUGAAGACUAACUACUGCGAAAGCAUUUGCCAAGGAUGUUUUCAUUAAUCAAGAACGAAAGUUAGGGGAUCGAAGACGAUCAGAUACCGUCGUAGUCUUAACCAUAAACUAUGCCGACUAGGGAUCGGAUGAUGUUAAUUUUUUAAUGACUCAUUCGGCGCCUACGGGAAACCAAAGUGUUUGGGUUC
rnacentral:rRNA from 1 species